AGAAGAUGGUAAGGGCAAACGGUGGAUGCCUUGGCACAAGAAGCCGAUGAAGGACGUGAUAAGCUGCGAUAAGCCACGGUAAGGAGCACAUAUCCUGUGACCCGUGGAUUUCCGAAUGGGUAAACCCACCAAGAGUCAUUUCUUGGUACUUCCUGCUGAAUAUAUAGGCAGGAUAGAGGUAACCGGGGGAACUGAAACAUCUAAGUACCCCGAGGAAGAGAAAUCAAACGAGAUUCCCCUAGUAGUGGCGAGCGAACGGGGAUAUAGGACAAACCGUCAGUUGCGCAAGCGCUGGCGGGGUUGUAGGACCAUUCAUUGUGGAGUUACAAAACUUCGUGGAAGCAGAAUAGCUUGGAAAAGCUGGCGAGACAGGGUAAAAGCCCCGUACGCGAAUCUGCGAAGACUCCCGAGUGGCACCUGAGUACUGCCGGACACGUGAAACCCGGUGGGAACCUGGGGGGUCCACCCUCCAAUCCUAAAUACUCUCUUGUGACCGAUAGUGAACCAGUACCGUGAGGGAAAGGUGAAAAGCACCCCUAGCGGGGAGUGAAAUAGUACCUGAAACCGUUUGCCUACAAGCAGUCGGAGCAGACUUUUGUCUGUGACGGCGUGCCUUUUGUAGAAUGAGCCAGCGAGUUACGGCAUGUGGCAAGGUUAAGCUAAAAAGCGAGCCGCAGCGAAAGCGAGUCUGAAUAGGGCGAGUGAGUCGCAUACCGUAGACGCGAAGCCAGGUGAGCUAUCCAUGAGCAGGCUGAAGCGGGGGUAAGACCCCGUGGAGGGCCGAACCCACUUAGGUUGAAAACUGAGGGGAUGACUUGUGGAUAGGAGUGAAAGGCCAAUCAAACCUGGAGAUAUCUCGUUCUCUCCGAAAUAGCUUUAGGGCUAGCCUCGGAUGUUUACCAAUGGGGGUAGAGCACUGAAUAGUUGCGGGGGCUUCACCGCCUACCAAGAUUAAUCAAACUCCGAAUACCAUUGGUCUAGAAUCCGGGAGUCAGAAUAUGUGGGCUAAGCUGUGUAUUCGAAAGGGAAACAGCCCAGACCGCCCGCUAAGGUCCCAAAAUCAAUGCUAAGUGGCAAAGGAUGUGCGUUUGCUCAGACAACCAGGAUGUUGGCUUAGAAGCAGCCAUUCAUUUAAAGAGUGCGUAAUAGCUCACUGGUCGAGUGGACAUGCGCCGACAAUAUACGGGGCUAAGCAUUGUACCGAAGCGGCGGAUCAGUACUUUGUACUGGUGGUAGGAGAGCUUUCUGUACGGGUUGAAGCAGUUGGAUAACCAACUGUGGACUGUCCAGAAGUGAGAAUGCUGGCAUGAGUAACGAGAGACAUGUAAAAAACAUGUCCGCCGUAAACCCAAGGUUUCCUGGGCAAGGCUAAUCCUCCCAGGGUUAGGCGGGAGCUAAGGCAAGGCCGGAAGGCGUAGUCGAUGCACAACAGGUAGAAAUUCCUGUCCCUCCAAAAGAGCGUUAUCACCAAUGGGGUGACGGAGCAGGGUAGCUAGGCGGGGUUCUGGACGUCCCCGUGAUGGCACGUAGGCUGAGAAGUAGUGAAAUGCGCUUCUCAUGUGGCUGAGGUGUCGGACGAAGCAAUUGAGUGAAGCUAGUAAGCCCAUACUUCCAAGAAAAACCUCUAGGGAGCUCUGAGGAGCCCGUACCGCAAACCGACACAGGUGGGUGGGUAGAGCAUACCAAGGCGAUCGGGAGAACUAUGGUUAAGGAACUCGGCAAAAUUGCCCCGUAACUUCGGGAGAAGGGGUGCCGGUUUCGGUGAAGGGAUUUACUCCCCGAGCUAAGAUCGGUCACAGUAAAUAGGUCCAAGCGACUGUUUAUCAAAAACACAGGACUCUGCUGAAGUCGUAAGACGACGUAUAGGGUCUGACGCCUGCCCGGUGCCGGAAGGUCACGAGGAGUUGUUAGCAUUAGCGAAGCAGCGAAUCUAAGCCCCGGUAAACGGCGGCCGUAACUAUAACGGUCCUAAGGUAGCGAAAUUCCUUGUCGGGUAAGUUCCGACCUGCACGAAUGG
rnacentral:rRNA from 1 species